rnacentral:lncRNA from 1 species
ACAACAAAUAAUGAGUAAUCAAUAUGGUGAUUAAAUAAAAUGUUUUAUUUAUACCCAGAGUUUGUGGCCAUAUGGGAUUAGUAUUAUUCUUGUGUUUCACUUUGCAUGUUUUGACUUCCUGAAUAAUUAAAUUGGUUCAGAACAAUCAAAUUAUUCGAACGGACCACAGUCGUUCAUAUGUUGGAAGUAGGUANUAAAAGACCACAAUCGUUCAUAUGUUGGAAGUAGGUAUGAAUGAAUACUAUCGUGAAUUGGUGUGUGGAUUGUCUAAAGUGUAUUAGACAUAAGCAAAUGUUUGCUGCAACGUUCAUGAGUGCUUAUGAAUAUGAUUUGAGCAUUGGAUCAAGCCCACACUCACUUGAAUCACUUCGUGGAUUUUAUCACGAGUGAUUGGUGAGACGAUAACAUCUUAUAUUCUUGAAACCGAGAUGUGUGAGUUGUAUCUUGCGAGUCGAUUACACAUUGAUAAUAUGUAAACGCACCAGUAACUUGGUGUCAUAAAACAUAUUGUUGUGUGUGAUUUGGUGAGUGAGUGCAAGCAAGCAUUGAAUCAAAGUUUAUC